GGCGUCGAGUGGAGAUCCAAUCGAAAAUCGAACUGACUUCAUCUUCUGUUGGUCAACAGGAGAGCCCGUUGAAAUCCUGGACCUCUCAAUUGUCCUUUUCUCUCUCCCCGCCCACCUUCCCCUGUUCUGCCGCCUCCCCAGUCCGGCGUGCAUCAGCAGCGACAUCAGAGUCGGCGAUGGGAGGCGUCAUCGACGUUCUCGUCCCCUUAUGUUGAUGAAGUGGUGUGCCGUGGAGAUUCCUUGACCGAUUUCUUGCCGGUAAGACGGAGUCUGCCAUCUGCGUGGCUGGUCAUCGCGGUGAGCAAGGAACGACGAAGUGCGCCCCUCCGCCCUUCGGCUCGUCGUUGUGCCUUGCGUCGUCGGGUGGAGUUCCUUCCCCUGCUUCAAGCUAAUUCGGUUUUUCCCUCUCAUCCUGUCAGUUUUCUCUUUGUUGGCAUUUUCGGUUCUCUGCUGUGAGGUUUUUUAAGGUGAUUUUGUUCGCAUCUGUGAUUUGUGUCUCUGUGUUCAUCGUUUGAUGAGGGAUUCGAUGCCAAAUUCAUUUGAAUCGAUUACAGGAAAUCAUGCAAAAAAUCAAACACAUACCUGUAGAAUUGCGUUGGAUUGGAUUCCAAAAAAUAAUGAAGGAAAAAGGAAAAACAAAUCUGAUCCGAUUUUGUGGCCUGCAUGCUUACUAACUUCGUUUUUAAGAGGCUCCAGGAAAAUGUAAUUUUGGGUAGGGUUUGUCAAGCGGUGGUGCCUGAAUGUAUCUUCUCCUGUCACCUCCCUCCUUUCACAUUAGAGUUAUUGGGUCUACCUUUACUGGGUCUACUCCUGGAUCCUGCUCUAUUUAAUUAUCCUUUUUUGUGCCAAAGCAGCCAAACCGCCAAUCACCACAAAUUGUAGAUUAAUGUUUCCAGCAUUAGCUUGCUGCUCCUGGUUCCAUACCUGCAAUCAGUUGCAAAUACACCAUGUUUUGUACUACCCCCUCCCCCAAUUAAACUUUAUAAUUAAAUGAAAAAGUGUAGGAGUUUGCCUAGUGACCACAAAGCAUUUUUUGGUGCAUUGGAAUCUUGUGUAUGCUUGAAUUUAAAAUUAUGAAUUCAAAUGUUGUUGAAUUACAUGCAGGACCCAUAAACUUUGAAUUAUUAUGAUGUGAAAAAUGAUUUAUAAUACAGUAUGUGCACAAGUGUAGAUAGAUAUAAGAAAAUGAAAUAUAGGGGAAGGGAUCAUUGGUAGUGUCACCCUAAAGUGCUGGAAAAGUUUUAAGGUGCUUCCCAUAGAACAACUUCUUGGGGGAGCACUAUUGGUAUGGAAUUGCUCUUAUUCAGUUUUUUUGGGGUUUCUGAGGAUCCUCCAUGUCCCCUAGAUUAUUGACCUCACUUUGUUCUUUGUAUCGAUUUAUUGUUGUAGGCAGUUAUAAUAGUAGGAGGUAUGCGUGCUUUGUAGAAUCAUACAGAUGCUUGUUGAACAUGUGUCUUUGUUUCUGUGUCUGUGUCAACAAGAUGUUCUAGCAUCAACAAGAUCCUGAUUAGCAUGUCAACUUCCAGACAAAAAGAGUAGAGCAGCAAAAUGGAGAACCAUGGAAAAUUGGAUGGGUGGGAUGAAGUUCUGGAAGAAGAAGAUGAGUUAGCGAGUGUAUGCAAAUAUCCUAUUAGCACAUCGUACCUUUCUUAUGGAACAAGCAGAAGUAUGUUAUCUCAUUUCCAGCAUCUCUCCUCUUAGAGAGAAUGUUGUGAGCAAAGGAGGACUUUGUUUUGUUAAACUAUACCAGGUGGACAAUCUAAUGCGUGUCCUCUGUUUCCAUACUGCAGGGGGCAAAAGUGUAAAGAAGCCUAGAUUCUCAUUACGAGGAUAUGAUUUUGUUCCAUUAGAUGUUAAGACUGAUAACUUGUGCAUUGGGGAGCAAGAUGGUUCUUCUGCAGUGCCAUCAACUAAAGCUUCACAAACCAUGGUGGCUGAACGGUUGGAAAACGUUGAGGAACAAACUGAAGAUUUGGCACCAGAGUUUGCCCUUCCACCCAAAGCAAAUACUUUAGUUUCUGAGCUGCUAGAUAAUUUACAGCGUAGGGGUGGUUCUUUUGUCAGGACACCAUCUUUGUUGCACCAACAUGCUCCAAGCAUAUCAAUCAGGGAGCAGGAAGUUUCAUCCGGAGUGCCACCAACUAAAGCUUCACAAGCUUUGAUGGAUGAACCGUUUGAAAAUGACAAUGGACAAACUGAAGAGUUGCCAUCAGAGCUCCCCUGCUCGAUCAAGAGACCAAAAUUUUCAGUUGCAGAACUUCUAGAAGACCUACAGGGUAGAAGUGGUUCUUAUGUUGAGACAGCAUCUUUGUCACACCAACACACCAGAGCUAAACAUUGGAAGCCAAAGUUCCUUUCUUCCGAGAAGAAAACAAUAGCUAUUCUAGGAGACAGGAGUAUUGACAGUGAGGACCCCUUGGAGCAUGUAAUUGACGGAACAUCUAGCGAGGAGGAAGAUGCUACUCAAAACCACUUGAGUUUGGUGAACAAAGAUGAGAACCAGCAAACUAUGGCUGACCUAUUUCAAGAAGUUUUUAAUCCAACAAACAUGGAUGGUGCCAUGAAAUCAAUGAGAUCAACAGGAGCUGGUAACUAUGGAAGAAUGCAACAGAUUAUGCACAUGGAGAAAGAUUGGCAUGUGGAAUUCUCGAGGCAGUAUAGCAGAGAGCACAGUUAUUCAGGUGAUUUAAAGGGAACUACUGUUCAGAUUAUGUCAAGGUCAUUGGAAGGAAAGCUAACAGUCUGCAGCUGCAUGUUCCAGGAAAAGGGCAAUGUCUGUGAUCCAUGUCUCCAUCUUCCAAAAACUCCUAUCUACUCAUGUGGCAGAUGCCACUAUAAGUAAUGCCUCAGCAGACGGCACCAUGGAUGAAAGCAGAACUAGGAGGACUAUUAUCUUCAGUCCAAAGAUAUGUAACAAUGUAGAUCUUCUGGUUGGAAACAUAAUUCAUAUCUUCCCACCAUGGAAGGAAGUUAAAAUACAAGAAGAGCAUGUGAUUAUUUGCACCUACUUCUCGCACCACCACCGGACUUGAUACUCGGAGAUAUUUCUGUGCUAGCUGCAAAGCUAGAGGCAGACCGCCAGCAUAACCGUUGCUGACAGUUUAAUGUUGAUGUACUCGCAGGGUCUAUUCUGUUUGUUUUGUAAUCACAAGUGUACUGGCUGCAAAGCUAUAGGCAGACCGCAAGCAUAACCGUUCCUGAUAGCCUAAUGCUGAUGUACUUGCAGUCUCUCUUCUGUUUUACAAUCACAAGUUACUGAGGCCUAGUUCGGAUUCUCUAA